UGCCCCCGACUCUGGAAUAACCGUGGGAAACGACGGCUAAUACCGGAUAUGAGACGCACAGGCAUCUGUGUGUCUGGAAAGAUUUAUCGGUCAGGGAUGGACUCGCGGCCUAUCAGCUUGUUGGUGGGGUAAUGGCCCACCAAGGCGACGACGGGUAGCCGGCCUGAGAGGGCGACCGGCCACACUGGGACUGAGAUACGGCCCAGACUCCUACGGGAGGCAGCAGUGGGGAAUAUUGCACAAUGGGCGCAAGCUGAUGCAGCGACGCCGCGUGAGGGAUGAAGGCCUUCGGGUUGUAAACCUCUUUCAGCAGGGAAGAAGCGAAAGUGACGGUACCUGCAGAAGAAGCGCCGGCUAACUACGUGCCAGCAGCCGCGGUAAUACGUAGGGCGCAAGCGUUGUCCGGAAUUAUUGGGCGUAAAGAGCUCGUAGGCGGUUUGUCGCGUCUGCUGUGAAAACCUGAGGCUCAACCUCGGGCUUGCAGUGGGUACGGGCAGACUAGAGUGCGGUAGGGGUGACUGGAAUUCCUGGUGUAGCGGUGGAAUGCGCAGAUAUCAGGAGGAACACCGAUGGCGAAGGCAGGUCACUGGGCCGCAACUGACGCUGAGGAGCGAAAGCAUGGGGAGCGAACAGGAUUAGAUACCCUGGUAGUCCAUGCCGUAAACGUUGGGCACUAGGUGUGGGGCUCAUUCCACGAGUUCCGUGCCGCAGCAAACGCAUUAAGUGCCCCGCCUGGGGAGUACGGCCGCAAGGCUAAAACUCAAAGAAAUUGACGGGGGCCCGCACAAGCGGCGGAGCAUGCGGAUUAAUUCGAUGCAACGCGAAGAACCUUACCAAGGCUUGACAUACACCGGAAAAGUGCAGAGAUGUGCUCCCCGCAAGGUCGGUGUACAGGUGGUGCAUGGUUGUCGUCAGCUCGUGUCGUGAGAUGUUGGGUUAAGUCCCGCAACGAGCGCAACCCUCGUCCUAUGUUGCCAGCGGGUUAUGCCGGGGACUCAUAGGAGACUGCCGGGGUCAACUCGGAGGAAGGUGGGGAUGACGUCAAAUCAUCAUGCCCCUUAUGUCUUGGGCUUCACGCAUGCUACAAUGGCCGGUACAAAGGGCUGCGAUACCGCGAGGUGGAGCGAAUCCCAAAAAGCCGGUCUCAGUUCGGAUUGGGGUCUGCAACUCGACCCCAUGAAGUCGGAGUCGCUAGUAAUCGCAGAUCAGCAACGCUGCGGUGAAUACGUUCCCGGGCCUUGUACACACCG
rnacentral:rRNA from 1 species